AUACGUAAGGAGCAAGCGUUAUCCGGAUUUACUGGGUGUAAAGGGCGCGUAGGCGGGAUGACAAGUCAGGUGUGAAAUCUAUGGGCUCAACCCAUAAACUGCACUUGAAACUGUUGUUCUUGAGUGAUGGAGAGGCAAGUGGAAUUCCUAGUGUAGCGGUGAAAUGCGUAGAUAUUAGGAGGAACACCAGUGGCGAAGGCGACUUGCUGGACAUUAACUGACGCUGAGGCGCGAAAGCGUGGGGAGC
rnacentral:rRNA from 1 species